GAAUAUGCAUCGACAGCGCGCCUGCGCUUUCAUUUGCGAACGUGACAAACGUCACGAAUAACAAGAGCGAAACUCUUAGGCGGCAGCCGGAGCAGUCGGAAUGAAAGCGCACACAGUAACCACGGUCGUGGUCGGCCUCGUCGCCUGUUUACUGCCAGCCAUCGCAGAGGGUCGAGUUGGACUACCGCACGCACGCAGGUGUGGCCCUGGCCAGCGCUACAUCUACUGCGGUAGCCGUGACUGUAGCGAGCUGACCUGCGAUCGCAUGACUCGGCCUGAAAACUGCAGCAUCGACUGCUUGUCUGGAUGCUUCUGCGCAGAGGAGCUCUACCGGAACAAGCACGGACACUGUGUUACAUUUGAUGAAUGUUUAGGGCGACCGCACCAUUCUCUCAGGCAUAAUGUUGGGUCUUCAGAAGAGUCUCGCGAUGUACCGUCGUUGACCUUGUAAAACAUGGACGAGAUAGGUCAAGACAGGCGGUCAAUAAUUGUGACGCGAGCACACAUUUUUUUAUUUUAAUUACGACCGUAAGACAUAUGGGACCUGAUCUUUAAAAAUAAAGGAAUGUGCUUGUGUUCGCAAUAAAACUCUUCUUUCAUGA